rnacentral:lncRNA from 1 species
GGGUCAUAGAAUCAUAGAAUCAUAGAGUUGGAAGAGACCACAAGGGCCAUCGAGUCCAACCCCCUGCCAAGCAGGAAACACCAUCAGAGCACUCCUGACAUAUGGUUGUCAAGCCUCUGCUUAAAGACCUCCAAAGAAGGAGACUCCACCACACUCCUUGGCAGCAAAUUCCACUGUCGAACAGCUCUUACUGUCAGGAAGUUCUUCCUAAUGUUUAGGUGGAAUCUUCUUUCUUGUAGUUUGGAUCCAUUGCUCCGUGUCCGCUUCUCUGGAGCAGCAGAAAACAACCUUUCUCCCUCCUCUAUGUGACAUCCUUUUAUAUAUUUGAACAUGGCUAUCAUAUCACCCCUUAACCUCCUCUUCUCCAGGCUAAACAUGCCCAGCUCUCUUAGCCGUUCCUCAUAAGGCAUCGUUUCCAGGCCUUUGACCAUUUUGGUUGCCCUCCUCUGGACACGUUCCAGUUUGUCAAUGUCCUUCUUGAACUGUGGUGCCCAGAACUGGACACAGUACUCCAGGUGAGGUCUGACCAGAGCAGAAUACAGUGGCACUAUUACUUCCCUUGAUCUAGAUGCUAUACUCCUAUUGAUGCAGCCCAGAAUUGCAUUGGCUUUUUUAGCUGCCGCGUCACACUGUUGGCUCAUGUCAAGUUUGUGGUCAACCAAGACUCCUAGAUCCUUUUCACAUGUACUGCUCUCAAGCCAGGUGUCCCCCAUCUUGUAUUUGUGCCUCUCAUUUUUUUUGCCCAAGUGCAAUACUUUACAUUUCUCCCUGUUAAAAUUCAUCUUGUUUGUUUUGGCCCAGUUCUCUAAUCUGUCAAGGUCGUUUUGAAGUGUGAUCCUGUCCUCUGGGGUGUUAGCCACCCCUCCCAAUUUGGUGUCAUCUGCAAAUUUGAUCAGGAUGCCCUUGAGUCCAUCAUCCAAGUCGUUGAUAAAGAUGUUGAAUAAGACCGGGCCCAAGACAGAACCCUGUGGCACCCCACUAGUCACUCUUCUCCAGGAUGAAGAGGAACCAUUGAUGAGCACCCUUUGGGUUCGGUCAGUCAGCCAGUUACAAAUCCACUGAGUGGUAGCAUAGUCAAGACCACAUUUUACCAGCUUCUUACAAGAAUAUCAUGAGGCACCUUGUCAAAUGCCUUGCUGAAAUCAAGGUAGGCUACAUCCACUGCGUUCCUUCAUCUACCAGGCUUGUAAUUCUGUCAAAAACGAGAUCAGGUUAGUCUGACAUGACUUAUUUUUCAGAAAUCCAUGCUGACUAUUGGUGAUCACAGCAUUCCUUUCUAGGUGCUCACAGACUGUUUGCUUAAUGAUCUGCUCCAGAAUCUUCCCUGGUAUUGAUGUCAGACUGACUGGGCGGUAAUUAUUUGGGUCCUCUCUUUUCCCUUUUUGAAAAUAGGGACAACAUUUGCCCUCCUCCAGUCUGCCGGGACUUCGCCUGUUCUCCAGGAAUUCUCAAAGAUGACUGCCAGUGGUUCUGAGAUCACAUCUGCCAGUUCUUUUAAUACUCUUGGAUGCAGUUCAUCUGGCCCUGGAGACUUGAAUACAUCUAAACUAGCCAAGUAUUCUUGUACUAUCUCCUUAGUUAUUCUGGGCUGUGUUUCCUUUGCUGAAUCAUUUGCUCCAAAUUCUUCAGGUCGGGCAUUGUUUUCUUUAUCGGAGAAGACUGAGGCAAAGAAGGCAUUGAGGAGUUCAGCUCUUUCUGUGUCCCCUGUUUGCAUUUCACCAUCUUCUCCUCUGAGUGACCCCACUGUUUCUUUGUUCUUCCUUUUGCUACGGACAUACCCAUAAAAGCCUUUUUUGUUGCUUUUAACCUCUCUAGCAAGCCUGAGUUCAUUCUGUGCUUUAGCUUUUCUGACUUUGUGUCUACACGUGCUGGCUAUUUGUUUGAAUUCCUCUUUGGUGGUUUCCCCUUUUCCAUUUUUUGUACACAUCCUUUUUAAUCUUAACUCAGUUAAAAGUUCUUUAGAUAGCCACCCUGGCUUCUUUAGGCACCUUCCAUGUUUCUGUCUCAUUGGUAUUGCCUGACGUUGUGCUUUUAGUAUCUCCCUCUUAACAAACUCCCAGCCAUCAUGAACUCCCUUUCCUUUUAGUAUUACUGUCCAUGGGAUCUCACCCAGCACUUCCCUAAGUUUUAUGAAGUCAGCUUUCUUAAAGUCAAGAAAUUGAGUCCUAGUAUGCUUGGCUGCUCCUUUCCGCUGUAUAGUAAACUUCAGAAGAGCAUGAUCACUCGCGCCUAAUGAUCCUUCCACUUCUACCCCACUAACCAGGUCAUCAACAUUGGUUAGGACCAGAUCUAAAAUGGCUGUUCCUCUUGUUGCUUCUCCCACUUUCUGGACAAUGAAGUUGUCUGCAAGGCCAGUGAGGAAUCUGUUUGACCUUAUGCUCUUGGCUGAGUUUGACAUCCAACAAAUAUCCGGGUAAUUGAAGUCCCCCAUUACUACUAUCUCCCUUCCUUUUGCAUGCUUGGCCAUCUGUUCCAGGAAGGCAUCAUCUAUGUCCUCCGUUUGGCUUGGGGAUCUAUAGUAAACUCCCACAAUGAGGUCACUGUUAUUCUUCUCUCCUUAAUUUUGACCCAAAUGCUCUCACUUUGGCUUUGAGGUUCUAAAUCUUGGAUCUCUUCACAGGUAUACACAUCCCUGACAUAUAACGCCACUCCUCCUCCUUUCUUGUCUGGUCUGUUUCUCUGAAAUAGAUUGUAUCCCCCCUUAUUACAUUCCAAUCGUGGGACUUAUCCCACCAGGUUUCAGUGAUGCCUAUUAUGUCAUAUUUAGUUUGCUGUACCAAGAGCUCAAGCUCAUCUUGUUUAUUUCCCAUGCUUUGCGCAUUAGUGUACAGACAUUGAAGUCCAUUAAUCAUUCCCCGUGACUCUUAUUUAAGGAUUUUUUCCUCCCACCACUAGGUCUGUGUGCUGUUUGCUCCAUUUGGUCUAUGACAUUUGGAUGAUCAUCUUCAUCAAUUGAUAGACUCCUACCUUCAGGAGCACUGUCUCCCUCCCCACAUUAGUCAGUUUAAAGCCCUCCUGAUGAGGUUUCUGAGAUUUUUGGCAAAAACAUUUCUCCCAACCGUUGUGAGGUGCAGCCCAUCGCUUGCCAGAAGUCCAUCUUCAAGAAACUGCAGUCCGUGAUCUAAGAAUCCAAACCGUUCCUGUUUACACCAUUUGCGAAGCCAGCUGUUCACUUCCACUAAUUUCCCUCUCUCCCUGGGCCACGUCGUUCAACUGGGAGGACAGAUGAGAUGACAAUUUGUGCAUUUAAUUGCUUCAAUUUCCUGCCCAGAGCCUCGUAGUCUCUUUUGAUCUUCUGGAGGCUAUUGCUUGCAGUGUCAUUGGUUCCCACAUGAACCAAGAGGAAGGGGUAUUUGUCAGUGGGUUUUAUGAUUCCUUGCAGUCGUUCAGUUACAUCUUGGAUCUUAGCCCCGGGAGACAGCACACUUCCCGAGACAUCUUGUCAGGCCCACAGAUCACUGCUUCUGUUCCCUCAGUAGGGAAUCCCCUAUCACCACUACACGCCUCCUCUUAGGUUUGGUCGGGGUUCUUCCGUGAGCUGUCCGCUCCAAGGUCGCCUGCACAUUCCCUGAGGACUGACUUUGCUGCUCGUCUUCAUAUACCUGAUCGACUGUAAUGAGGGAGAGAUCCUCAAAUGGAGUCUGCUCUUCGUCUUCCAUGCUAGGGGAGAGGACCUCAAAGCGAUUGUGUAUUUCUAAACAAUCAGAGCGAACCCUGGGCCUCCUACUUCUUUGAGUCACGUUUCUCCAUAUAUCUGGCUCCUGUGUUGGUGAACUAGCGUCCUUCUCAGGGGAGUCCCCUGUCUCCUCCUUGGUGGAGACGGUGUGCUCUGUUGCUUCCAAGAAGAGCUCCAGCUCUCUAAUUCUUUGGAGCGUAGCUACACGUUCCUCCAGUUGCUGGACUUUGUCUUUUAAGAGGGCAAUCAACAUGCAAUUGCUGCAGGUAAAGCUGCCUGCAACCUUUGGCAAGAUGGCAAACAUUGCGCAGGAACCGCAGGCGACUGCAGCUGUUCCCUCCCCUCCAUCUUGAGAACGUGUCGUUGGGGGUGGCUACAGCGGUCCUCCAUCAUAAAAAGCGUGAAGACAGGAAAAUAACUCCCCACACAAAAACCUAGGUCUCCCCAACAAACGUUUGAGACUAGCUCCCUAAAUCUAAAAGAUGGAUCANNNNNNNNNNNNNNNNNNNNNNNNNNNNNNNNNNNNNNNNNNNNNNNNNNNNNNNNNNNNNNNNNNNNNNNNNNNNNNNNNNNNNNNNNNNNNNNNNNNNGCAUGAUCACUCGUGCCUAAUGAUCCUUCCACUUCUACCCCACUAACCAGGUCAUCAACAUUGGUUAGGACCAGAUCUAAAAUGGCUGUUCCUCUUGUUGCUUCUCCCACUUUCUGGACAAUGAAGUUGUCUGCAAGGCCAGUGAGGAAUCUGUUUGACCUUAUGCUCUUGGCUGAGUUUGACAUCCAACAAAUAUCCGGGUAAUUGAAGUCCCCCAUUACUACUAUCUCCCUUCCUUUUGCAUGCUUGGCCAUCUGUUCCAGGAAGGCAUCAUCUAUGUCCUCCGUUUGGCUUGGGGAUCUAUAGUAAACUCCCACAAUGAGGUCACUGUUAUUCUUCUCUCCCUUAAUUUUGACCCAAAUGCUCUCACUUUGGCUUUGAGGUUCUAAAUCUUGGAUCUCUUCACAGGUAUACACAUCCCUGACAUAUAACGCCACUCCUCCUCCUUUCUUGUCUGGUCUGUUUCUCUGAAAUAGAUUGUAUCCCCCCAUUAUUACAUUCCAAUCGUGGGACUUAUCCCACCAGGUUUCAGUGAUGCCUAUUAUGUCAUAUUUAGUUUGCUGUACCAAGAGUUCAAGCUCAUCUUGUUUAUUUCCCAUGCUUUGCGCAUUGGUGUACAGACAUUGAAGUCCAUUAAUCAUUACCCCUUGACUCUUAUUUAAGGAUUUUUCCUCCCACCACUAGGUCUGUGUGCUGUUUGCUCCAUUUGGUCUAUGACAUUUGGAUGAUCAUCUUCAUCAAUUGAUAGAUUUCUACCUUCAGGAGCACUGUCUCCCUCCCCACAUUAGUCAGUUUAAAGCCCUCCUGAUGAGGUUUCUGAGAUUUUUGGCAAAAACAUUUCUCCCAACCGUUGUGAGGUGCAGCCCAUCGCUUGCCAGAAGUCCAUCUUCAAGAAACUGCAGUCCGUGAUCUAAGAAUCCAAACCGUUCCUGUUUACACCAUUUGCGAAGCCAGCUGUUCACUUCCACUAUUUUCCCCUCUCUCCCUGGGCCACGUCGUUCAACUGGGAGGACAGAUGAGAUGACAAUUUGUGCAUUUAAUUGCUUCAAUUUCCUGCCCAGAGCCUCGUAGUCUCUUUUGAUCUUCUGGAGGCUAUUGCUUGCAGUGUCAUUGGUUCCCACAUGAACCAAGAGGAAGGGGUAUUUGUCAGUGGGUUUUAUGAUUCCUUGCAGUCGUUCAGUUACAUCUUGGAUCUUAGCCCGGGAGACAGCACACUUCCCGAGACAUCUUGUCAGGCCCACAGAUCACUGCUUCUGUUCCCCUCAGUAGGGAAUCCCCUAUCACCACUACACGCCUCCUCUUAGGUUUGGUCGGGGUUCUUCCGUGAGCUGUCCGCUCCAAGGUCGCCUGCACAUUCCCGAGGACUGACUUUGCUGCUCGUCUUCAUAUACCUGAUCGACUGUAAUGAGGGAAAGAUCCUCAAAUGGAGUCUGCUCUUCGUCUUCCAUGCUAGGGGAGAGGACCUCAAAGCGAUUGUGUAUUUCUAAACAAUCAGAGCGAACCCUGGGCCUCCUACUUCUUUGAGUCACGUUUCUCCAUAUAUCUGGCUCCUGUGUUGGUGAACUAGCGUCCUUCUCAGGGGAGUCCCCUGUCUCCUCCUUGGUGGAGACGGUGUGCUCUGUUGCUUCCAAGAAGAGUUCCAGCUCUCUAAUUCUUUGGAGCGUAGCUACACGUUCCUCCAGUUGCUGGACUUUGUCUUUUAAGAGGGCAAUCAGCAUGCAAUUGCUGCAGGUAAAGCUGCCUGCAACCUUUGGCAAGAUGGCAAACAUUGCGCAGGAACCGCAGGCGACUGCAGCUGUUCCCUCCCCCUCCAUCUUGAGAACGUGUCGUUGGGGGUGGCUACAGCGGUCCUCCAUCAUAAAAAGCAUGAAGACAGGGAAAAUAACUCCCCACAAAAAACCUAGGUCUCCCCAACAAACGUUUGAGACUAGCUCCCCUAAAUCUAAAAGAUGGAUCAAACUGCGCGCGCCGCUAGGCGCGCGCCGCUGCCCUGCAAUCUCUGAUAAGCUCCUCCCACAGCUAAUCACCUGCCUCAACAGAAACCCUGCCCCCUCUGACCUUUGCACAGGGAGAGCAGCCAAUCAGCCACAAAGAAACACACACACACACACACACACACAAGAAAAACCCCUUUUGCUCCUUCUUCAGCUGCUGCCCUGCAAGCUCUGAUAAGCUCCUCCCACAGCUAAUCACCUGCCUCAACAGAAACCCUGCCCCCUCUGACCUUUGCACAGGGAGAGCAGCCAAUCAGCCACAAAGAAACACACACACACACACACACACACGAAAACCCUUUUGCUCCUUCUUCAGCUGCUGCCCUGCAAGCUCUGAUAAGCUCCUCCCACAGCUAAUCACCUGCCUCAACAGAAACCCUGCCCCCUCUGACCUUUGCACAGGAGAGCAGCCAAUCAGCCACAAGAAACACACACACACACACACACACAAGAAAACCCUUUUUGCUCCUUCUUCAGCUGCUGCCCUGCAAGCUCUGAUAAGCUCCUCCCACAGCUAAUCACCUGCCUCAACAGAAACCCUGCCCCUCUGACCUUUGCACAGGGAGAGCAGCCAAUCAGCCACAAAGAACACACACACACACACACACAAGAAAACCCUUCUGCUCCUUCUUCAGCUGCUGCCCUGCAAGCUCUGAUAAGCUCCUCCCACAGCUAAUCACCUGCCUCAACAGAAACCCUGCCCCCUCUGACCUUUGCACAGGGAGAGCAGCCAAUCAGCCACAAAGAAACACACAUACACACACACAAGAAAACCCUUUUGCUCCUUCUUCAGCUGCUGCCCUGCAAGCUCUGAUAAGCUCCUCCCACAGCUAAUCACCUGCCUCAACAGAAACCCUGCCCCUCUGACGUUUGCUCAGGGAGAGCAGCCAAUCAGCCACAAAGAAACACACAUACACACACACAAGAAAACCCUUUUGCUCCUUCUUCAGCUGCUGCCCUGCAAGCUCUGAUAAGCUCCUCCCACAGCUAAUCACCUGCCUCAACAGAAACCCUGCCCCCUCUGACCUUUGCACAGGGAGAGCAGCCAAUCAGCCACAAAGAAACACACAUACACACACACAAGAAAACCCUUUUGCUCCUUCUUCAGCUGCUGCCCUGCAAUCUCUGAUAAGCUCCUCCCACAGCUAAUCACCUGCCUCAACAGAAACCCUGCCCCCUCUGACCUUUGCACAGGGAGAGCAGCCAAUCAGCCACAAAGAAACACACACACACACACACACACACACAAGAAAACCCUUUUUGCUCCUUCUUCAGCUGCUGCCCUGCAAGCUCUGAUAAGCUCCUCCCACAGCUAAUCACCUGCCUCAACAGAAACCCUGCCCCCUCUGACCUUUGCACAGGGAGAGCAGCCAAUCAGCCACAAAGAAACACACACACACACACACACACAAGAAAACCCUUUUUGCUCCUUCUUCAGCUGCUGCCCUGCAAGCUCUGAUAAGCUCCUCCCACAGCUAAUCACCUGCCUCAACAGAAACCCUGCCCCCUCUGACCUUUGCACAGGAGAGCAGCCAAUCAGCCACAAAGAACACACACACACACACACACAAGAAAACCCUUUUGCUCCCUCGUCAGCUGCUGCCCUGCAAGCUCUGAUUAGCUCGUCGCACUGCUAUUCACCUUCCUAAACAGAAACCCUUGCCCUUCUGAUCUUUGAUCAGUUAUAGCAGCCUAUCAGAGACAAAGAAACACAAAUACACACACACAAGAAAACCCUUUUGCUCCUUCUUCAGCUGCUGCCCUGCAAGCUCUGAUAAGCUCCUCCCACAGCUAAUCACCUGCCUCAACAGAAACCCUGCCCCCUCUGACCUUUGCACAGGGAGAGCAGCCAAUCAGCCACAAAGAAACACACAUACACACACACAAGAAAACCCUUUUGCUCCUUCUUCAGCUGCUGCCCUGCAAGCUCUGAUAAGCUCCUCCCACAGCUAAUCACCUGCCUCAACAGAAACCCUGCCCCCUCUGACCUUUGCACAGGGAGAGCAGCCAAUCAGCCACAAAGAAACACACAUACACACACACAAGAAAACCCUUUUUGCUCCUUCUUCAGCUGCUGCCCUGCAAGCUCUGAUAAGCUCCUCCCACAGCUAAUCACCUGCCUCAACAGAAACCCUGCCCCCUCUGACCUUUGCACAGGGAGAGCAGCCAAUCAGCCACAAAGAAACACACAUACACACACACACACAAGAAAACCCUUUUUGCUCCUUCUUCAGCUGCUGCCCUGCAAGCUCUGAUAAGCUCCUCCCACAGCUAAUCACCUGCCUCAACAGAAACCCUGCCCCCUCUGACCUUUGCACAGGGAGAGCAGCCAAUCAGCCACAAAGAAACACACAUACACACACACAAGAAAACCCUUUUGCUCCUUCUUCAGCUGCUGCCCUGCAAUCUCUGAUAAGCUCCUCCCACAGCUAAUCACCUGCCUCAACAGAAACCCUGCCCCCUCUGACCUUUGCACAGGGAGAGCAGCCAAUCAGCCACAAAGAACACACACACACACACACACAAGAAAACCCUUUUUGCUCCUUCUUCAGCUGCUGCCCUGCAAGCUCUGAUAAGCUCCUCCCACAGCUAAUCACCUGCCUCAACAGAAACCCUGCCCCCUCUGACCUUUGCACAGGGAGAGCAGCCAAUCAGCCACAAAGAAACACACAUACACACACACAAGACAACCCUAUUUGCUCCUUCUUCAGCUGCUGCCCUGCAAGCUCUGAUAAGCUCCUCCCACAGCUAAUCACCUGCCUCAACAGAAACCCUGCCCCCUCUGACCUUUGCACAGGGAGAGCAGCCAAUCAGCCACAAAGAAACACACAUACACACACACAAGAAAACCCUAUAUGCUCCUUCUUCAGCUGCUGCCCUGCAAGCUCUGAUAAGCUCCUCCCACAGCUAAUCACCUGCCUCAACAGAAACCCUGCCCCCUCUGACCUUUGCACAGGGAGAGCAGCCAAUCAGCCACAAAGAAACACACACACACACACACACAAGAAAACCCUUUUUGCUCCUUCUUCAGCUGCUGCCCUGCAAGCUCUGAUAAGCUCCUCCCACAGCUAAUCACCUGCCUCAACAGAAACCCUGCCCCCUCUGACCUUUGCACAGGGAGAGCAGCCAAUCAGCCACAAAGAAACACACAUACACACACACAAGAAAACCCCGAUUUUGCUCCUUCUUCAGCUGCUGCCCUGCAAUCUCUGAUAAGCUCCUCCCACAGCUAAUCACCUGCCUCAACAGAAACCCUGCCCCCUCUGACCUUUGCACAGGGAGAGCAGCCAAUCAGCCACAAAGAAACACACACACACACACACACACACAAGAAAACCCUUUUUGCUCCUUCUUCAGCUGCUGCCCUGCAAGCUCUGAUAAGCUCCUCCCACAGCUAAUCACCUGCCUCAACAGAAACCCUGCCCCCUCUGACCUUUGCACAGGGAGAGCAGCCAAUCAGCCACAAAGACACACACACACACACACACACACACACAAGAAAAACCCCUUUUGCUCCUUCUUCAGCUGCUGCCCUGCAAGCUCUGAUAAGCUCCUCCCACAGCUAAUCACCUGCCUCAACAGAAACCCUGCCCCCUCUGACCUUUGCACAGGGAGCAGCCAAUCAGCCACAAAGAAACACACAUACACACACACAAGAAAACCCUUUUUGCUCCUUCUUCAGCUGCUGCCCUGCAAGCUCUGAUAAGCUCCUCCCACAGCUAAUCACCUGCCUCAACAGAAACCCUGCCCCCUCUGACCUUUGCACAGGGAGAGCAGCCAAUCAGCCACAAAGAAACACACAUACACACACACAAGAAAACCCUUUUUGCUCCUUCUUCAGCUGCUGCCCUGCAAGCUCUGAUAAGCUCCUCCCACAGCUAAUCACCUGCCUCAACAGAAACCCUGCCCCCUCUGACCUUUGCACAGGGAGAGCAGCCAAUCAGCCACAAAGAAACACACACACACACACACACACACAAGAAAACCCUUUUUGCUCCUUCUUCAGCUGCUGCCCUGCAAGCUCUGAUAAGCUCCUCCCACAGCUAAUCACCUGCCUCAACAGAAACCCUGCCCCUCUGACCUUUGCACAGGGAGAGCAGCCAAUCAGCCACAAAGAACACACACACACACACACACACAAGAAAACCCUCUUCAGCUGCUGCCCUGCAAGCUCUGAUAAGCUCCUCCCACAGCUAAUCACCUGCCUCAACAGAAACCCUGCCCCCUCUGACCUUUGCACAGGGAGAGCAGCCAAUCAGCCACAAAGAAACACACAUACACACACACAAGAAAACCCUUUUUGCUCCUUCUUCAGCUGCUGCCCUGCAAGCUCUGAUAAGCUCCUCCCACAGCUAAUCACCUGCCUCAACAGAAACCCUGCCCCCUCUGACCUUUGCACAGGGAGAGCAGCCAAUCAGCCACAAAGAAACACACAUACACACACACAAGAAAACCCUUUUGCUCCUUCUUCAGCUGCUGCCCUGCAAGCUCUGAUAAGCUCCUCCCACAGCUAAUCACCUGCCUCAACAGAAACCCUGCCCCCUCUGACCUUUGCACAGGAGAGCAGCCAAUCAGCCACAAAGAAACACACAUACACACACACAGGAAAACCCUUUUGCUCCUUCUUCAGCUGCUGCCCUGCAAGCUCUGAUAAGCUCCUCCCACAGCUAAUCACCUGCCUCAACAGAAACCCUGCCCCCUCUGACCUUUGCACAGGGAGAGCAGCCAAUCAGCCACAAAGAAACACACAUACACACACACAAGAAAACCCUUUUGCUCCUUCUUCAGCUGCUGCCCUGCAAGCUCUGAUAAGCUCCUCCCACAGCUAAUCACCUGCCUCAACAGAAACCCUGCCCCCUCUGACCUUUGCACAGGGAGAGCAGCCAAUCAGCCACAAAGAAACACACACACACACACACACACAAGAAAACCCUUUUUGCUCCUUCUUCAGCUGCUGCCCUGCAAGCUCUGAUAAGCUCCUCCCACAGCUAAUCACCUGCCUCAACAGAAACCCUGCCCUCGGACCUUUGCACAGGGAGAGCAGCCAAUCAGCCACAAAGAAACACACAUACACACACACAAGAAAACCCUUUUGCUCCUUCUUCAGCUGCUGCCCUGCAAGCUCUGAUAAGCUCCUCCCACAGCUAAUCACCUGCCUCAACAGAAACCCUGCCCCCUCUGACCUUUGCACAGGAGAGCAGCCAAUCAGCCACAAAGAAACACACAUACACACACACAAGAAAACCCUUUUGCUCCUUCUUCAGCUGCUGCCCUGCAAGCUCUGAUAAGCUCCUCCCACAGCUAAUCACCUGCCUCAACAGAAACCCUGCCCCCUCUGACCUUUGCACAGGGAGAGCAGCCAAUCAGCCACAAAGAAACACACAUACACACACACAAGAAAACCCUUUUGCUCCUUCUUCAGCUGCUGCCCUGCAAGCUCUGAUAAGCUCCUCCCACAGCUAAUCACCUGCCUCAACAGAAACCCUGCCCCCUCUGACCUUUGCACAGGGAGAGCAGCCAAUCAGCCACAAAGAAACACACACACACACACACACACACACAAGAAAACCCUUUUGCUCCUUCUUCAGCUGCUGCCCUGCAAGCUCUGAUAAGCUCCUCCCACAGCUAAUCACCUGCCUCAACAGAAACCCUGCCCCCUCUGACCUUUGCACAGUGAGAGCAGAUAAUCAGCCACAAAGAAACACACACACACACACACACACAAGAAAACCCUUUUGCUCCUUCUUCAGCUGCUGCCCUGCAAGCUCUGAUAAGCUCCUCCCACAGCUAAUCACCUGCCUCAACAGAAACCCUGCCCCCUCUGACCUUUGCACAGGGAGAGCAGCCAAUCAGCCACAAAGAAACACACACACACACACACACACAAGAAAACCCUUUUGCUCCUUCUUCAGCUGCUGCCCUGCAAGCUCUGAUAAGCUCCUCCCACAGCUAAUCACCUGCCUCAACAGAAACCCUGCCCCCUCUGACCUUUGCACAGGGAGAGCAGCCAAUCAGCCACAAAGAAACACACACACACACACACACACAAGAAAACCCUUUUUGCUCCUUCUUCAGCUGCUGCCCUGCAAGCUCUGAUAAGCUCCUCCCACAGCUAAUCACCUGCCUCAACAGAAACCCUGCCCCCUCUGACCUUUGCACAGGGAGAGCAGCCAAUCAGCCACAAAGAAACACACAUACACACACACAAGAAAACCCUUUUUGCUCCUUCUUCAGCUGCUGCCCUGCAAGCUCUGAUAAGCUCCUCCCACAGCUAAUCACCUGCCUCAACAGAAACCCUGCCCCCUCUGACCUUUGCACAGGAGAGCAGCCAAUCAGCCACAAAGAAACACACAUACACACACACAAGAAAACCCUUUUUGCUCCUUCUUCAGCUGCUGCCCUGCAAGCUCUGAUAAGCUCCUCCCACAGCUAAUCACCUGCCUCAACAGAAACCCUGCCCCCUCUGACCUUUGCACAGGGAGAGCAGCCAAUCAGCCACAAAGAAACACACAUACACACACACACAAGAAAACCCUUUUUGCUCCUUCUUCAGCUGCUGCCCUGCAAGCUCUGAUAAGCUCCUCCCACAGCUAAUCACCUGCCUCAACAGAAACCCUGCCCCCUCUGACCUUUGCACAGGGAGAGCAGCCAAUCAGCCACAAAGAAACACACACACACACACACACACAAGAAAACCCUUUUUGCUCCUUCUUCAGCUGCUGCCCUGCAAGCUCUGAUAAGCUCCUCCCACAGCUAAUCACCUGCCUCAACAGAAACCCUGCCCCCUCUGACCUUUGCACAGGGAGAGCAGCCAAUCAGCCACAAAGAACACACACACACACACACACACAAGAAAACCCUUUUGCUCCUUCUUCAGCUGCUGCCCUGCAAGCUCUGAUAAGCUCCUCCCACAGCUAAUCACCUGCCUCAACAGAAACCCUGCCCCCUCUGACCUUUGCACAGGGAGAGCAGCCAAUCAGCCACAAAGAAACACACAUACACACACACAAGAAAACCCUUUUGCUCCUUCUUCAGCUGCUGCCCUGCAAGCUCUGAUAAGCUCCUCCCACAGCUAAUCACCUGCCUCAACAGAAACCCUGCCCCCUCUGACCUUUGCACAGGAGAGCAGCCAAUCAGCCACAAAGAAACACACAUACACACACACAAGAAAACCCUUUUGCUCCUUCUUCAGCUGCUGCCCUGCAAGCUCUGAUAAGCUCCUCCCACAGCUAAUCACCUGCCUCAACAGAAACCCUGCCCCCUCUGACCUUUGCACAGGGAGAGCAGCCAAUCAGCCACAAAGAAACACACAUACACACACACAAAGAAAACCCUUUUUGCUCCUUCUUCAGCUGCUGCCCUGCAAGCUCUGAUAAGCUCCUCCCACAGCUAAUCACCUGCCUCAACAGAAACCCUGCCCCCUCUGACCUUUGCACAGGGAGAGCAGCCAAUCAGCCACAAAGAAACACACAUACACACACACACACAAGAAAAACCCCUUUUGCUCCUUCUUCAGCUGCUGCCCUGCAAGCUCUGAUAAGCUCCUCCCACAGCUAAUCACCUGCCUCAACAGAAACCCUGCCCCCUCUGACCUUUGCACAGGGAGAGCAGCCAAUCAGCCACAAAGAAACACACAUACACACACACAAAGAAAACCCUUUUGCUCCUUCUUCAGCUGCUGCCCUGCAAGCUCUGAUAAGCUCCUCCCACAGCUAAUCACCUGCCUCAACAGAAACCCUGCCCCCUCUGACCUUUGCACAGGGAGAGCAGCCAAUCAGCCACAAAGAAACACACACACACACACACACAAGAAAACCCUUUUUGCUCCUUCUUCAGCUGCUGCCCUGCAAGCUCUGAUAAGCUCCUCCCACAGCUAAUCACCUGCCUCAACAGAAACCCUGCCCCCUCUGACCUUUGCACAGGGAGAGCAGCCAAUCAGCCACAAAGAAACACACAUACACACACACAAGAAAACCCUUUUUGCUCCUUCUUCAGCUGCUGCCCUGCAAGCUCUGAUAAGCUCCUCCCACAGCUAAUCACCUGCCUCAACAGAAACCCUGCCCCUCUGACCUUUGCACAGGGAGAGCAGCCAAUCAGCCACAAAGAAACACACAUACACACACACAAGAAAACCCUUUUGCUCCUUCUUCAGCUGCUGCCCUGCAAGCUCUGAUAAGCUCCUCCCACAGCUAAUCACCUGCCUCAACAGAAACCCUGCCCCCUCUGACCUUUGCCCAGGAGAGCAGCCAAUCAGCCACAAAGAACACACACACACACACACACACAAGAAAACCCUUUUGCUCCUUCUUCAGCUGCUGCCCUGCAAGCUCUGAUAAGCUCCUCCCACAGCUAAUCACCUGCCUCAACAGAAACCCUGCCCCCUCUGACCUUUGCACAGGGAGAGCAGCCAAUCAGCCACAAAGAAACACACAUACACACACACAAGAAAACCCUUUUGCUCCUUCUUCAGCUGCUGCCCUGCAAGCUCUGAUAAGCUCCUCCCACAGCUAAUCACCUGCCUCAACAGAAACCCUGCCCCCUCUGACCUUUGCACAGGGAGAGCAGCCAAUCAGCCACAAAGAACCACACACACACACACACACACAAGAAAACCCUUUUGCUCCUUCUUCAGCUGCUGCCCUGCAAGCUCUGAUAAGCUCCUCCCACAGCUAAUCACCUGCCUCAACAGAAACCCUGCCCCUCUGACCUUUUCACAGGGAGAGCAGCCAAUCAGCCACACAGACACACACACACCCACACACACACACACAAGAAACCCCUUUUGCUCCUUCUUCAGCUGCUGCCCUGCAAGCUCUGAUAAGCUCCUCCCACAGCUAAUCACCUGCCUCAACAGAAACCCUGCCCCCUCUGACCUUUGCACAGGAGAGCAGCCAAUCAGCCACAAAGAAACACACAUACACACACACAAGAAAACCCUUUUGCUCCUUCUUCAGCUGCUGCCCUGCAAGCUCUGAUAAGCUCCUCCCACAGCUAAUCACCUGCCUCAACAGAAACCCUGCCCCCUCUGACCUUUGCACAGGGAGAGCAGCCAAUCAGCCACAAAGAAACACACAUACACACACACAAGAAAACCCAUUUUGCUCCUUCUUCAGCUGCUGCCCUGCAAGCUCUGAUAAGCUCCUCCCACAGCUAAUCACCUGCCUCAACAGAAACCCUGCCCCCUCUGACCUUUGCACAGGGAGAGCAGCCAAUCAGCCACAAAGAAACACACACACACACACACACACACAAGAAAACCCUUUUUGCUCCUUCUUCAGCUGCUGCCCUGCAAGCUCUGAUAAGCUCCUCCCACAGCUAAUCACCUGCCUCAACAGAAACCCUGCCCCCUCUGACCUUUGCACAGGGAGAGCAGCCAAUCAGCCACCAACAAACACCCACACACAACAAAACCCCUUUCGCUCCUACUUCAACUGCUGCCCUGCAAGCUCUGAUAAGCUCCGCACACAGCUAAACACCUGCCUCAACCGAAACCCUGCCCCCUCUGACCUUUGCACAGGAGAGCAGCCAAUCAGCCACAAAGAAACACACAUACACACACACUAGAAUCACCAUUUUGCUCCUUCUUCAGCUGCUGCCCUGCAAGCUCUGAUAAGCUCCUCCCACAGCUAAUCACCUGCCUCAACAGAAACCCUGCCCCCUCUGACCUUUGCACAGGGAGAGCAGCCAAUCAGCCACAAAGAAACACACAUACACACACACAAGAAAACCCUUUUGCUCCUUCUUCAGCUGCUGCCCUGCAAGCUCUGAUAAGCUCCUCCCACAGCUAAUCACCUGCCUCAACAGAAACCCUGCCCCCUCUGACCUUUGCACAGGGAGAGCAGCCAAUCAGCCACAAAGAAACACACAUACACACACACAAAAAAACCCUUUUGCUCCUUCUUCAGCUGCUGCCCUGCAAGCUCUGAUAAGCUCCUCCCACAGCUAAUCACCUGCCUCAACAGAAACCCUGCCCCCUCUGACCUUUGCACAGGGAGAGCAGCCAAUCAGCCACAAAGAAACACACAUACACACACACAAGAAAACCCUUUUGCUCCUUCUUCAGCUGCUGCCCUGCAAGCUCUGAUAAGCUCCUCCCACAGCUAAUCACCUGCCUCAACAGAAACCCUGCCCCCUCUGACCUUUGCACAGGGAGAGCAGCCAAUCAGCCACAAAGAAACACACACACACACACACACACAAGAAAACCCUUUUUGCUCCUUCUUCAGCUGCUGCCCUGCAAGCUCUGAUAAGCUCCUCCCACAGCUAAUCACCUGCCUCAACAGAAACCCUGCCCCCUCUGACCUUUGCACAGGGAGAGCAGCCAAUCAGCCACAAAGAAACACACAUACACACACACAAGAAAACCCUUUUUGCUCCUUCUUCAGCUGCUGCCCUGCAAUCUCUGAUAAGCUCCUCCCACAGCUAAUCACCUGCCUCAACAGAAACCCUGCCCCCUCUGACCUUUGCACAGGGAGAGCAGCCAAUCAGCCACAAAGAAACACACAUACACACACACAAGAAAACCCUUUUUGCUCCUUCUUCAGCUGCUGCCCUGCAAGCUCUGAUAAGCUCCUCCCACAGCUAAUCACCUGCCUCAACAGAAACCCUGCCCCCUCUGACCUUUGCACAGGGAGAGCAGCCAAUCAGCCACAAAGAAACACACAUACACACACACAAGAAAACCCUUUUUGCUCCUUCUUCAGCUGCUGCCCUGCAAGCUCUGAUAAGCUCCUCCCACAGCUAAUCACCUGCCUCAACAGAAACCCUGCCCCCUCUGACCUUUGCACUGGUGAGCAGCUUAUCAGGCACUAAGAAACACACAUACACACACACAAGAAAACCCUUUUGCUCCUUCUUCAGCUGCUGCCCUGCAAGCUCUGAUAAGCUCCUCCCACAGCUAAUCACCUGCCUCAACAGAAACCCUGCCCCCUCUGACCUUUGCACAGGGAGAGCAGCCAAUCAGCCACAAAGAAACACACAUACACACACACAAGAAAACCCUUUUUGCUCCUUCUUCAGCUGCUGCCCUGCAAGCUCUGAUAAGCUCCUCCCACAGCUAAUCACCUGCCUCAACAGAAACCCUGCCCCCUCUGACCUUUGCACAGGGAGAGCAGCCAAUCAGCCACAAAGAAACACACACACACACACACACACACACACAAGAAAACCCUUUUUGCUCCUUCUUCAGCUGCUGCCCUGCAAGCUCUGAUAAGCUCCUCCCACAGCUAAUCACCUGCCUCAACAGAAACCCUGCCCCCUCUGACCUUUGCACAGGGAGAGCAGCCAAUCAGCCACAAAGAAACACACACACACACACACACAAGAAAACCCUUUUUGCUCCUUCUUCAGCUGCUGCCCUGCAAGCUCUGAUAAGCUCCUCCCACAGCUAAUCACCUGCCUCAACAGAAACCCUGCCCCCUCUGACCUUUGCACAGGGAGAGCAGCCAAUCAGCCACAAAGAAACACACAUACACACACACAAGAAAACCCUUUUUGCUCCUUCUUCAGCUGCUGCCCUGCAAGCUCUGAUAAGCUCCUCCCACAGCUAAUCACCUGCCUCAACAGAAACCCUGCCCCCUCUGACCUUUGCACAGGGAGAGCAGCCAAUCAGCCACAAAGAAACACACACACACACACACACACAAGAAAACCCUUUUUGCUCCUUCUUCAGCUGCUGCCCUGCAAGCUCUGAUAAGCUCCUCCCACAGCUAAUCACCUGCCUCAACAGAAACCCUGCCCCCUCUGACCUUUGCACAGGGAGAGCAGCCAAUCAGCCACAAAGAGAAGCAGGGAGUCAUGAAGUCAAGGGUCCGAGGGUCAAGAAGCAGGGAGUCAUGAAGUCAAGGGUCCGAGGGUCGAGAAGCAGGGAGUCAUGAAGUCAAGGGUCCGAGGGUCGAGAAGCAGGGAGUCAUGAAGUCAAGGGUCCGAGGGUCGAGAAGCAGGGAGUCAUGAAGUCAAGGGUCCGAGGGUCGAGAAACAAGGAGUCGUGAAGUCAAGGGUCCGAGGGUCGAGAAGCAGGGAGUCAUGAAGUCAAGGGUCGAGAAACAAGGAGUCCUGAAGUCGAGGGUCCGAGGGUCAAGAAGCAGCGAGUCACGAAGUCGAGGGUCCAAGGGUCAAGAAGCAAGGAGUCACAAAGUCAAGGGUCCAAGGGUUGAUAAACAAGGAGUCAAGAAGCCAAGGUCUGAGGAUCAGGAAGCAAGAAGCCAAACGCAGCAAGGCAGGAAACGAGUUGUUGUGGCAAAGAGCCAAAGGGAAAUGCUGACCUUAUAUCCCUUCCCAGCUCUUGCCACCAGGUGCAGUGAGUUACAAGCAGCCUCACCUGUGAGCCUUGCCUCUCUAGAACAAACUUAGGAAGGCCCCAGUCCUGCGAAGCCCUACUAGUCACAGAGCCCGGCUCCUGCAUGCACUCCUGACACUUGCCACCAGUCGUGUGGAAUGAUUUCGUGGCCCCUGAAGACCCUUUCCACAUGUGCAGCUAUGAAUUCCUCACACACCAACCUUGAAAUUUGUUCCCAUGUAUAACGUCAUCCCAUUUCCAGCUCGAGUCUGGACGACAAACAGCCGUGACUUAUGUCAGAUUCAGAGAAAGAAAAAUGACCCUGCUCUCCAUCUGGGGUUGAAGUGAGUUUUUUAAUUUAUUUAACCCACAUGGAAGUAUCUAAGAAGCCCUUAAAAGCUCCACAGGUAAGAACGGCUGUGGUCAUGACUGGCCUGAGGCAAAGGACAAGAUGGCGGUUGCCUGCAUUAGUUGCACAGAGACAACUGGGUCCAACUCUAGCAUCCUCCAUUGCACCUGAAGAUCACAGGGCGGCUGACAGCAUAAAAAUACGGAAUGAAAUUCCUUCAGGGAUGCAGGAGAGACUGCAUGGCUCAGGCCAGGGGUCAGCAAACUUUUUCAGCAGGGGGCCGAUCCACCGUCCCUCAGACCAUGUGGUGGGCCGGACUAUAUUUUGGAAAAAACCAAAAUGAACGAAUUCCGAUGCCCCACAAAUAACCCAGGGAUGCAUUUUAAAUAAAAGCACACAUUUUACUCAUGUAAAAACACACUGAUUCCCGGACUGUACGUGGGCCAGAUUUAGAAGGUGAUUGGGCCGGAUCCGGCCCCCGGGCCUUAGGUUGCCUACCCAUGGCUCAGGCACACACAUAGGCCCAGCUGUUGCUGUUUGGUAUCAGCUUAGCAGUAUUUAGCACAAAUCCAUCACUCAGCCAAAUUUGUCUUAUGAGAUAAAAAAAUAUUUAUUUAUUAAUACCAGGGAGUGCCUGAUGCUGCCUGGGAAUUUGCUGAAACCAUUUUUGUGUGUGUGUGAUUUUUAAACGGGUACUUCAGUUUGUGAGGUAGGACCCGCCACGCCAACAACUGAGCGAAGUCACAUUUUUGUCUGCCAUCUUGAUUCAAAAUGGCGCCUGGGACCCAAACAUUGGCAGAGGCCCCCUCCCCCAACUCGGGAAUAUUUGUGGUAUACAAUUUUUAAAAAAAUAAAUCAGUCUAUAAUCAAUCAAUUGAUCAGUCUACAACCUUUGGCAAUGCCAACUGUUGUCUGAAUGACCCAGGCAGAAAAACAGAGGAACAUCGGGUUAUACCAAUGGUCCAUCUAUAUUUCAGUAUUGUCUACACUGGGUUUCUCAGAGAUACUACUGGGGACGGACGUUCUGCAUGCAAAACACGUGUCCUACCACUGAGCACUGCCCUACCCUUUCCCCCUCAUGCCACCGCAAAAGGGAGGAAGCUGCUGAAAGAUGAACAGAGGCCAGAGGUUUUGGAAGAAAAAUGAAUUAAUAUUGGGCCGGAAGUUUAAAAUUUAAACACUUCCUCCCUCUUAUUCUCUUGUAACUCAGAGGCAGACAUGUUUUGCAAUUUGUUGCGGUCGGGGGAUUUCAAGUCCUGUAUCGAAACCGUACAGGUUUUGACAAACGGCCGCCCAAGUGUGAAAGAUGGAUUUGAUGCAACAAGAAUAUGAAGGGAUACGGACAAAAAGGUGUUUGUGCAGAAAUGGUCAUUUUGGUUUUGGAGCAUCUUCUGGGAUGCCCAGCCACAGUCUCACCUGCAACCAGGUCAAAGGAAAGACCUCGAGAUCCAACAGAGAGAGAGAGAGUAAAGCAAUAAUCAGCUCAAUGAUAACUUGCAAAUCCAGCAUAAAAUGAGGGCAAAUGUUGAUUUUUGGUAUAGCACUGGCUGAUUUAUGAGACUGCAGGUAACAGGAAAAUUGCAAGCACUCAGAGAACCUGGGAUGCACCCAACUCCAACCUCUCUGCGUGGCGUCUUCCAGAUGUUAUGAACUACAAGUCCCUUCAGCCCCGAGCCAGGACAGCCGUGUCUUUUUAUUUCUUUUAUUUUGUAAAAUCUAUGCACCGCUUGAUUGUAAAAAGAACCAACCGCCUCGAAGUGGCUUACAAAACUGCAAAACAAUAAAAUCAUCAGGAGAAAAUUGCAGCAAUAGUUUAAAACAUACAAAAAGUGAAAAUACUAAAACAGGUUACAAUUUUCACACCAACUUUCCAAGCAUCUGCAGAGGCAAACCAGAAUGUUUGCAGCCAAAACAGAUACAGCGAAAGCGUCUUGCUUGAUAUCAUGAGGCAGGGAGUUCCAGAGUGUAAGUGCUGCCAUGCUAAACGACCAAGUUCCUACAUAUGAUGUUGCGGCUGACGGGAGUUGCAUUGCGAAAUCUCAAAACAGGUUGGGGAAGGGCUUGUGUAGAGAUGUGUGAUCGUCACAAGCGUAGGCAAACUCCGGCCCUCCAGAUGUUUGGGACUACAAUUCCCAUCAUCCCUAGCUAACAGGACCAGUCGUCAGGGAUGAUGGGAAUUGUAGUCUCAAAACAUCUGGCGGGCCGGGUUUGCCUAUGCCUGGCAAAAACAAUGGAGGGUCAUGUGGCACAUUAAUGGCCAAUAUGUUUAUUGCGGCAUAAGUUUUCAUGAACUAGAGGCCACCUCCUCAGGGGCUGCUCUGUGGAAGCUGGUGCCAGCCUUUGUCAUCAAGGUGUUCUCCAGAUGUUUUGGACCACCCCAUUCCACCAGUCUCAGCAACUGCAGCCAAGCAGUGCAAAACAUCUGAGGGCACCAAGAUGGGGAUGGCUGGGUCACGAAUCUGCAAGUGUGCAAGGCUCUCUGCUGAGACAGAACGACUCUCUCAAAAUACUUAACCCCGCAGGGCCCCUUCCGCCUUCACAGAAUUUAACACAAAUCUAUUAUUCGCCUUGGGAGAGAAAACAUGCUUUCUUGGACCAUGCAAGAACAUGGGUUGAAGAGAGUGGCCUGUCCCACUAGAUUGCUCCUUUCUCAAUAAAAAUGUGUAUUAGGCUUUUUCUAAAGGCGAGAAAGAAUUCUGUUGUGCCAAGGGCUUGAGUGGGCGAUUUCACCACUAAAACAAAAGGCCCCACUCUGUAUCAAAAGCAAUCUAAAUUCUAAUCGUCAGAUAUCAUCACAGCACAUGGCCUUUACUGCUGUCCUAGGCUUGUCCAAAAACUACCACUAAAGCCCACUCCUUUUGUUGAUAGUCCCAGAAUAGUACUUUGAAGCAAGCCCUGUCUUCUUAUGUAAUGCUGGAUGGGCGACGAAGUACCAUGUUAGUAUGCCAAUGUGCUUUGCUUUGCUAUCACUCUGCACCCGGUUUUUAUUCCUGCAUUUCAGAAGGGGGUUGGACUAGAUGAGGGGGUCCCUUGCAACUCUACAGUUCUGUGGAAUCAGGUGUCUGGCAUGUGCAAUGCUGCACUGGUUAGGUUCUUCUUGCUCCACCCAGAACCACGUCUCAGUCAGUCCGGGGUGCCCUGAAAUCCAUGGAACUUGCCUGUUGAGAAAACUUGCUUGGCACUCAAAUGUCAAGAGAGGACUGCUUGCAUUGCUCAUGGUCUCCAUUCUUUGCCGCUCCCAGUGGGCAGCAUGGCUGGGGUUUCAGAACCCUAGAAAUCCGCUGUGCUUUUGCGUCCUUAACAUUCGUCUGAAGACUGGCCAGUCAAGCUACGCUCAAACCAGCAGGGCAGUUUAAACUUGCAAAGCGGGUUCGAUUAGAUGAGCAACAUUCUAGGAUUCUAUGAAAGCUGUCAAGAAGCAGUAGGCCACAACCAUUUUCAUUACCUCCUUUCUCCAUGCAUGCCUGGGUGCCAGUCAUUUAUGACCUAAAGGAACAUACCCCCCCCCUCCCCGAGCUCCAUAGACAUAGAAUCAUACAGUUGGAACGGCCCACAAAAGUCGUCUAGUCCCUGCAAUGCAGCUUCCCCUUACGGGAAUUGAACCUGCAACCUUGACAUUAGCAACACCACACUCUAACCAACUGAGCUACCCGCCAGUUCCUUUGCCUGGUGAGAUUGCUACUUGCCACAGGUGAGCAGGUGUAUGUUUAUCUGCAAGUGUGGGUUACCAAACGCACCUCUGCAAGCUUGACGCCUAUGCAAAGGAUGCCGGAAAUGUCAGCUCGGAGCAGGGCAAACCUGAGCACAAAGAAGGGGCAGGAUAGUUCAAAUCCCACAUGCUUAAGGCUUCACUGCUUUGUGGAUGCACAGCACAUACUGUAUAACAGGAAAGCAAGACUUUCGAGGGUAGCCCUUUGAGAACUGUAAGCAAGCUUCCUUGGACUACAGUUUUAUCGUGUAUUGUUAUGCAUCUUCCCCUGCAACAUAAAAUCAGUUUUGGUCAUCUAUUCUCAGUUCCCUGCAAUGCAGGAAUUGCAUGCAGUCACAAGAGUGUCUUGGCAUAUCCUAAGGCAGCCUCCCCCAAAGCGUUGCUCUUUGUAUAAUCUGGCGAUUCCAACCCGCCAUGACUCCAGCCAGAUUGGCCAAGGAGUUAUGGGAGCUGUGGUCUGACAGCAGGUAAGGGCAGCCAGGUUAGGGGUGGCACUCCCAGUUCCAGGGCUGGACCAAAGACACUUGGGUGUUUGAGGUGAGACAUUCAGGCAGCAGCACUCUGUACCCCAUUCAUUUAAAAUGGGGUGCAAGUCACCAGGAAGUUUUCAACGGGAGUUGUGCAAGAGCUCUCGACGGGGUUGCAACGGAGAAUCUACUAGUGGGUCGUGUCCCACAGGGCUGGAUUCAUCUUCCCUCUCCAACAACCUGAACGUCCACCUUCAAGGCUGAUGCCUCUCCCUGUGCCCAGUGGUGAAAUCCAUCAGGCUUUGGCGAGGGCUGGCGAUGAUGUGUCUUAGAAGAAGCCUCUGCGACAGCAAGUCAUCACCACUGGCAAAGCAAGAGGGAAAGGAUUCCAACCCUACAAUAGGAGACGUCAGGGACAUAUUUUGCCCUAAGUUACCCCUGGAUUCAGAAGACACACAAACCAGAGUCAGGGCUCCUCCACACUUACUACCUACCCCACAAUUUCUAGACACAGGUCCACGCUUUCCUGGUCUGUGUCUGAGAUUUUUUAAAUAAAAAAAAAUCCCGCUGCUUUUUCCAGGAAAAGCUGAUCUUUACUGCUGAACCGGAACAAACAGCAAUUAGGAUUUUCCACUUAAUUGUUUUCAGUGGUAAAGAGCGAGUCUUCGUGGAGAAAGCGCUGGGGCAAUAAAAUAAAACAAAACUAAAAAGCACUCGGACACAGGACCUGGAUAGCUCAGACCUCUGCCUAGAAAUAUGAUGAAGGUUAAGUGUGGUCCUACAACCAUAGCAAUGUUUCUGCUUCUGCAGUCUCUUCCUUCAAGGGAUCCAAAUGAUUAGAGCCUCACCUCCAUUCAAGGAUGCUGAAAUGUUGUUUUCCAAACAGAAAAAAGUGACUUUAAAAUAUCAAAUAGAUCAGAAGUACAGAAGUUGGGGUUUUUUUGGGGGGAGGGAUGUUUGCCUGGGCUCUCAAAUUCAUUACACUGUGAAGGAAGAAAACAAGAAUGAAAACCCAGAAGAGGAUGGAGAUACACCCCCCCCCCAUUUCUUAGGGGAGUCUCAAGUCCACACUCCCCAAGCUGAGCAGUCCCAUCCCCUUUGGGCUGCACUGGAUCCAAGUGCCUGGGAUUUAAUUCAAUUUACCAGGGCCCUGCAGGAUCUGGUUUCUUUCCGCAGGGCCUGUAAGAGAGAGUCGUUCCGCCUGGCCUUUGGCUUGGAAUCAACUUGAUCCCCUCCCCCUCUUUCCUUUUUCCUUUCUUCUUCUGUGAUGGAACUCCUAUUUGGGGACUUCCCUGGCUUUUUUCUGGCCCAUGUAGGACCAGUCUGGAUAGUUGGCCUUGGGGAAGACUUGACGUUUUCAUUCCCAAAAAAGUUUUUGAGCUUCUGCUGAAAUGAGGCUGCAUUUUAAUGUUGUAUUUUAAUCUUAUUUUCAAGUUGUAUUUCAAUCAUAGAAUCAUAGAAUCAUAGAGUUGGAAGAGACCACAAGGGCCAUCGAGUCCAACCCCCUGCCAAGCAGGAAACACCAUCAGAGCACUCCUGACAUAUGGUUGUCAAGACUCUGCUUAAAGACCUCCAAAGAAGGAGACUCCACCACACUCCUUGGCAGCAAAUUCCACUGUCGAACAGCUCUUACUGUCAGGAAGUUCUUCCUAAUGUUUAGGUGGAAUCUUCUUUCUUGUAGUUUGGAUCCAUUGCUCCGUGUCCGCUUCUCUGGAGCAGCAGAAAACAACCUUUCUCCCUCCUCUAUGUGACAUCCUUUUCUAUAUUUGAACAUGGCUAUCAUAUCACCCCUUAACCUCCUCUUCUCCAGGCUAAACAUGCCCAGCUCCCUUAGCCGUUCCUCAUAAGGCAUCGUUUCCAGGCCUUUGACCAUUUUGGUUGCCCUCCUCUGGACACAUUCCAGUUUGUCAAUGUCCUUCUUGAACUGUGGUGCCCAGAACUGGACACAGUACUCCAGGUGAGGUCUGACCAGAGCAGAAUACAGUGGCACUAUUACUUCCCUUGAUCUAGAUGCUAUACUCCUAUUGAUGCAGCCCAGAAUUGCAUUGGCUUUUUAGCUGCCGCGUCACACUGUUGGCUCAUGUCAAGUUUGUGGUCAACCAAGACUCCUAGAUCCUUUUCACAUGUACUGCUCUCAAGCCAGGUGUCCCCCAUCUUGUAUUUGUGCCUCUCAUUUUUUUGCCCAAGUGCAAUACUUUACAUUUCUCCCUGUUAAAAUUCAUCUUGUUUGUUUUGGCCCAGUUCUCUAAUCUGUCAAGGUCGUUUUGAAGUGUGAUCCUGUCCUCUGGGGUGUUAGCCACCCCUCCCAAUUUGGUGUCAUCUGCAAAUUUGAUCAGGAUGCCCUUGAGUCCAUCAUCCAAGUCAUUGAUAAAGAUGUUGAAUAAGACCGGGCCCAAGACAGAACCCUGUGGCACCCCACUAGUCACUCUUCUCCAGGAUGAAGAGGAACCAUUGAUGAGCACCCUUUGGGUUCGGUCAGUCAGCCAGUUACAAAUCCACUGAGUGGUAGCAUAGUCAAGACCACAUUUUACCAGCUUCUUUACAAGAAUAUCAUGAGGCACCUUGUCAAAUGCCUUGCUGAAAUCAAGGUAGGCUACAUCCACUGCGUUCCCUUCAUCUACCAGGCUUGUAAUUCUGUCAAAAACGAGAUCAGGUUAGUCUGACAUGACUUAUUUUUCAGAAAUCCAUGCUGACUAUUGGUGAUCACAGCAUUCCUUUCUAGGUGCUCACAGACUGUUUGCUUAAUGAUCUGCUCCAGAAUCUUCCCUGGUAUUGAUGUCAGACUGACUGGGCGGUAAUUAUUUGGGUCCUCUCUUUUCCCCUUUUUGAAAAUAGGGACAACAUUUGCCCUCCUCCAGUCUGCCGGGACUUCGCCUGUUCUCCAGGAAUUCUCAAAGAUGACUGCCAGUGGUUCUGAGAUCACAUCUGCCAGUUCUUUUAAUACUCUUGGAUGCAGUUCAUCUGGCCCUGGAGACUUGAAUACAUCUAAACUAGCCAAGUAUUCUUGUACUAUCUCCUUAGUUAUUCUGGGCUGUGUUUCCUCUGCUGAAUCAUUUGCUCCAAAUUCUUCAGGUCGGGCAUUGUUUUCUUUAUCGGAGAAGAUUGAGGCAAAGAAGGCAUUGAGGAGUUCAGCUCUUUCUGUGUCCCCUGUUUGCAUUUCACCAUCUUCUCCUCUGAGUGACCCCACUGUUUCUUUGUUCUUCCUUUUGCUACGGACAUACCCAUAAAAGCCUUUUUUGUUGCUUUUAACCUCUCUAGCAAGCCUGAGUUCAUUCUGUGCUUUAGCUUUUCUGACUUUGUGUCUACACGUGCUGGCUAUUUGUUUGAAUUCCUCUUUGGUGGUUUCCCCCCUUUUCCAUUUUUUGUACACAUCCUUUUUAAUCUUAACUCAGUUAAAAGUUCUUUAGAUAGCCACCCUGGCUUCUUUAGGCACCUUCCAUGUUUCCGUCUCAUUGGUAUUGCCUGACGUUGUGCUUUUAGUAUCUCCUCUUAACAAACUCCCAGCCAUCAUGAACUCCCUUUCCUUUUAGUAUUACUGUCCAUGGGAUCUCACCCAGCACUUCCCUAAGUUUUAUGAAGUCAGCUUUCUUAAAGUCAAGAAAUUGAGUCCUAGUAUGCUUGGCUGCUCCUUUCCGCUGUAUAGUAAACUUCAGAAGAGCAUGAUCACUCGCGCCUAAUGAUCCUUCCACUUCUACCCCACUAACCAGGUCAUCAACAUUGGUUAGGACCAGAUCUAAAAUGGCUGUUCCUCUUGUUGCUUCUCCCACUUUCUGGACAAUGAAGUUGUCUGCAAGGCCAGUGAGAAAUCUGUUUGACCUUAUGCUCUUGGCUGAGUUUGACAUCCAACAAAUAUCCGGGUAAUUGAAGUCCCCCAUUACUACUAUCUCCCUUCCUUUUGCAUGCUUGGCCAUCUGUUCCAGGAAGGCAUCAUCUAUGUCCUCCGUUUGGCUUGGGGAUCUAUAGUAAACUCCCACAAUGAGGUCACUGUUAUUCUUCUCUCCCUUAAUUUUGACCCAAAUGCUCUCACUUUGGCUUUGAGGUUCUAAAUCUUGGAUCUCUUCACAGGUAUACACAUCCCUGACAUAUAACGCCACUCCUCCUCCUUUCUUGUCUGGUCUGUUUCUCUGAAAUAGAUUGUAUCCCCCCAUUAUUACAUUCCAAUCGUGGGACUUAUCCCACCAGGUUUCAGUGAUGCCUAUUAUGUCAUAUUUAGUUUGCUGUACCAAGAGCUCCAGCUCAUCUUGUUUAUUUCCCAUGCUUUGCGCAUUAGUGUACAGACACUGAAGUCCAUUAAUCAUCCCCCCGUGACUCUUAUUUAAGGAUUUUUUCCUCCCACCACUAGGUCUGUGUGCUGUUUGCUCCAUUUGGUCUAUGACAUUUGGAUGAUCAUCUUCAUCGAUUGAUAGACUCCUACCUUCAGGAGCACUGUCUCCCUCCCCCACAUUAGUCAGUUUAAAGCCCUCCUGAUGAGGUUUCUGAGAUUUUUGGCAAAAACAUUUCUCCCAACCGUUGUGAGGUGCAGCCCAUCGCUUGCCAGAAGUCCAUCUUCAAGAAACUGCAGUCCGUGAUCUAAGAAUCCAAACCGUUCCUGUUUACACCAUUUGCGAAGCCAGCUGUUCACUUCCGUAUUUUCCCCUCUCUCCCUGGGCCAUGUCGUUCAACUGGGAGGACAGAUGAGAUGACAAUUUGUGCAUUUAAUUGCUUCAAUUUCCUGCCCAGAGCCUCGUAGUCUCUUUUGAUCUUCUGGAGGCUAUUGCUUGCAGUGUCAUUGGUUCCCACAUGAACCAAGAGGAAGGGGUAUUUGUCAGUGGGUUUUAUGAUUCCUUGCAGUGGGUAUUUGUCAGUGGGUUUUAUGAUUGUCAGUGGGUUUUAUGAUUCCUUGCAGUGGGUUUUAUGAUUCCUUGCAGUCGUUCAGUUACAUCUUGGAUCUUAGCCCCGGGGAGACAGCACACUUCCCGAGAUUUUAUACCAGUGUUAGCUGCCCUGAGGGCUAUUAUUAUUAUUAUUAUUAUUAUUAUUAUUAUUAUUAUUAAAUUUUAUUUAUACCCUGCCCUCCCCAGCCAAGACCGGGCUCAGGGCAGCUAACACUGGUAUAAAAUCGCCAGUGUUAGCUGCCCUGAGCCCGGUCUUGGCUGGGGAGGGGAGGGUAUAAAUAAAAUUUAAUAAUAAUAAUAAUAAUAAUAAUAAUAAUAAUAAUAAUAAUAAUAAUAAUUUACACCGUGCCACACAGCCCCCUGCCCAAGGAAGCGCAGGGCGUCCGCCGUAGACAGCUCAGUCCCUCACAGCCGGCGCCAUUUUGCUGUGAUCAAAGUGGGCAGCUGGAGUGGGAUUUUUAACAAAAAGCCUCUGUGUCUGCACGCAAAGGUAGGCAGGCAGACGUGCAGCUGGUUGGCCCUGGAGAACAGCAAAGGUCUGUCCCUUUCCUUAUUCAAGCUCAGCUUUGCUUCCAAACAAUGCAAACCCCGGCAGGUGUCUUGUGAUCAUCCUCCUCCUUGCAUGUUCACGGUUUCCUACAAGUUUGGGUAACUGCAUCUGAAUGCAUCCAGCACAACGCUCUCAUUCCUUCAGGAACCCACUAGAGACACUUCCUUCCUUCAUUUUAGACGAGGGCAGAAUUACUGCUUGCAUAGGAGAAGGGACCGGACAAAAGGACCUCCAAAACUAAUAGAUCAUAUGGAGCAAGAUCUUUUUCUCCCAACUAAAUUGAUUUCUGGUGUGCAUGCAGAUUUUUGGCACCCAGAGGCUUAGAACUUCCAGGGGGAAGCAAGUGAUCAAUUCUUUUUUUCUUAAGCUGGCAAGCAAACUUUUUCACGCAGAGAACAGGUUUUCCUCUGCCUGUCUCGCAACGUUAUUUCUGUUCUCUCUCUUGCCUGCAAGAGUCAACCCCGGGGCUCCUAACUUGAUUUCUCCUUCAAAAUAACUUCAAACUAUCUGUUGUUAUACAGAGCUGAGACUGCCCUUCUCCCACGACAGCUGAGAGAUUUACUGGGACUGUUUUUGUGAAUAAAAAUUUAUCGGCACCCUUUGCACAUCACAGUAAACCACAGGUAAGGAAUGUGCCUGAUUUGGGUGUUUGUCCCUUUUCGACUAGCAUUAGGAGGAAAUAAAUCGCAGGCCCUGGUUUAGACAUUAUUAUUAUUAUUAUUAUUAUUAGACUUUUACUAGCAUGUCCCAGGGCAGGUUGCAACAAAUACCAAUUCCGUAUUGCUAACAGGUAAAACAAAUUGCGGUCCCAGGAAUAGGAUGGGUCCUGAAAACACAGACCUCAGGUGUCAAAGUUCAGGAGAAAGAGGUGUGGAUAUGUCAGUUGCAAAAAGCUGUGCAGAGGGAGAUGCAAAGCUUAGGGGCCGCUAGAGAGAAGGCCCUCUUGUCACUGCUACCCCCAAAUUUCUGUGGGGGGCGGGACAAUCAAGAGAGUGCCUAGGAUCCACGUACCUAUGGGACCGCCUCUCCUGGUAUGCCCCGCGGAGGACCUUAAAGUCCACAAAUGACAACAUUUUGGAAGUCCCAAGUUGCAAAGUGGUUAGAUUGGUCUCAACUAGGGCCAGGGCCUUUUCAGUAGUGGCCCUGACGUGGUGGAACGCUCUGUCACAAGAGACCAGGGCCCUGCGGGACUUGACAUCUUUCCUCAGGGCCUGCAAGACAGAGCUGUUCCGCCUGGCCUUUGGUUUGGACUCAGUCUGACCCUUAUGUUUCCCUUCCUUUAUGGUUGUGAUCUAUUGGCUACUUUUAAAAUGAGGCUGCAUUUUAAAUUAUAUUUUAAUCUGUAUUUUAAAUUGUUUUCCCCCUCCCCUAUUAUGUUUUUACUGUAAUUUUACUGGUGUUAAUUGCCCUGAGCCCGGCUCUGGCCGGGGUAUAAAUAAAAUUUAUUAUUGUUGUUGUUGUUAUUAUUAUCAUCUGCCAAUCUGAGAGGAAAGGACGGGGUCUCUCCCCGAUACCCUACGUCAGGGGUGGCCAACUCCCAAGAGACUGCAAUCUACUCAGGGCAAAAUUGUUGAGCUAUUUUUGAGGAGGAAAGCCCCGAUUUUGGGGAGCUCCAGGCUAAAAUGCUGCCCAUUUUUAAGGGAAAAGUGGAACAGCCGCUCACCAACAGAUUGCUGGGGAAACAAACAACCUCACUGAGUAGACUCUUCGUCUUCCUUUCUGCAAAUCGUGCAACAAUGGAGGGCAGGGCGGGAAUCGAUUUUUAGCAACGCUAAGGAAAGGGACCCAGCGAUCGACAGCGAUCUACCAAAACCUCCUGGGGAUCUACCAGUAGAUCGCGAUCGACCUGUUGGAUGCCCCUGUCCCAUUAACUAUGGUUUACCGCGACGUGUGAACAACACCCCCCCCUGAACAUCAGGUAAAUGUUCAAAGAGGUGUUGCAAUGCUUAAAUUCAGAGGAAUUCAGAAGCAUGGCUGGAUUUACACACACACCUAAAUCUUAGGCCUGCCUUUCUUAAUAAGGGCCUGCAAACAGGGAAAUAAAUAAAUGGCUUGGAGGGAAUGCAUGGGGUCACGCGCUCACCCUUACGCCCCCCCCCGCCAAGCUCAGCACUGAGCAAGAUUUGCUUAAAUUUGGGCUCUGAAAACCCACUUGAAGUCCCGCGGAUACGAAGAAACCCUAACGAGUGCCAAGCGGUCGAUGUCUUAACCUUCAUCCACAGGGACCGGAAUCAUAUUUAUUCAUUUAUUUAUUGCAUUUAUCAUUUCACCGUUUCAGCUCAAAAGUGGCGCAUGUGGUUGUCCCCACCCCCUCGUCAUUUAAUCCCCACAACAACCCUGUGAGGUAGGGGAGGCGGUGAAUGGCCCUCAAGAUCGCACCCAGCGAGUUUCGCCGUGUGAGGAUUUGGACCCUGGUCUCUGCCGGGCACUAGUCCCAACGCUCUAACCACUACACCGCUGCUGUCUCUCAUGAGAUCCAAUGACGAGUCAUGAACAUCUUUAUCCUGCCCUUCCUAGAAUCAUAGAAUCCUAGAGUUGGAAGAGACCACAAGGGCCAUCGAGUCCAACCGCCUGCCAAGCAGGAAACACCAUCAGAGCACUCCUGACAUAUGGUUGUCAAGCCUCUGCUUAAAGACCUCCAAAGAAGGAGACUCCACCACACUCCUUGGCAGCAAAUUCCACUGUCGAACAGCUCUUGCUGUCAGGAAGUUCUUCCUAAUGUUUAGGUGGAAUCUUCUUUCUUGUAGUUUGGAUCCAUUGCUCCGUGUCCGCUUCUCUGGAGCGCAUCCUGCUUGAGGAUGCGCUCGUAGUUCUCUCCAAUCUCCCCCCUUUCCUUGCCACCCAACCUACCUCACAGGGUUGUUAGACGUGCAUGACCUGCCCACCCAGAGAGCAUUAUGGCUGAGAAGGAAUUUGAACCCAGCUCUCUCCGGACCAGUCUUCUGCAGCAGAAGUUGCCGUCCAAAACAAAAGGCCACCUGAGAUGGAGUCUGCUCCUCUUAAUGCAUAAUCUGGGCUCUCAAGGGGCAUAGCUGUCAACGUUUCCCUUUUUUAAAGGGAAAUUCCCUUAUUCUGAAUAGGAUUCCUGACAAGAAAAGGGAAAAGUUGACAGCUAUGUCAAGGUGUGGUGAGCAAUGGGGCAGCGCCCUCUCUAAAGGUCAACAGUUAUUCGAUUCCGGUCUUUCUCCCUCUCUCAGGCUCGAUGGACAGGAACGGCACCAAAAGGUCCCAGCUGGUUACUCCCUCUUAACAAAUCCAGACACAGCAAAGCCCUGCCUAGGUUGUUAUGUAAGAGGAGGUUGUUGGAUCAGGCCAGUGGCCCAUCCAGUUCCAGCAUUGCCUGUGGGAAAACCGCAAGCAGGAUAUGAGCGCAAGAGCAACUCUCCCCUGAGGCUGUAGCCAUGGACGGCUCUUCUCUUCCCUGAAUUUGCACCAUGUUAAAUCAAGCCUGAACUAGACACAGAUCAGGCAUAGGCAAACUCCAGCCUUCCAGACGUUUGUGGGAUAUUGCACGCCAAGAACUAACAGUAGCAGCAGAGAAAACAUGUUCCCCUCUUUAUUUUCAACUUUAUUGGGCACAUGAAACUAACCAUAAUUACCUUGAAUUUCUGCUUAACCCUCAAGAAAGAAGGGCAUUCUCGCUGGCCAGGUUUAAUUCAAAUCCAUCCAACCUCCUUUGGCGAAGGUUCUCAGGCAGGGUGGAAGGAGAAAGAACUUGCCCAUGUGAAGACCACCUGGUGGAAACCCUUAAAGGUAAAGGUAAAGGGACCCCUGACCAUUAAGUCCAGA